GCCUCCGCCUCCUGGGUUCAAGCGAUUCUUGUGCCUCAGUCUCCCAAGUAGCUAGGAUUAAAGACCCUGCAUGUGAUGGAUUGGCUGACACCAUCCAGUUCGGUAAACUGGUUCAUCUGAUCUUGUGCCCUGCACCCAGGAACUGACUCAGCGCAAGAAGACAGCUUUGACUCCUUCUGAUUUCAUCCCUAACCAAUCAGCACUCCUAGCUCACUGGCUUCCCCCAACCCACCAAGUUGUCCUUAAAAACUCUGCUCUCCAAAUGCUGGGGGAGACUGAUUUGAGUAAUAAUAAAACUCUGGUCUCCCACACAGUUGGCUUUUCGUGAAUUACUCUUUCUCUAUUCCAAUUCCCUUAUUUUGGUGAAUUGGCUCUGUCUAGGCAGUGGGCAAGGUAAACCCCUUAGGCAGUCACAUGGUUAUUGACCCUUCUUUUUCCUUCCUUUCUUCCUCUCUCUCUCCCUCAUUUCCUCUCUCCUCUUCUCCCUCCUUCCCUCUCUUUAUUUCUUUCCUCCUAUUCAUAAAAAAACUAUUGAAACUGCCUUUGCAAAAAUUACAACUAAGAAAAUUAUGUCAGUGAAAGAAAUCUGACCUAACUGACUCGACCUUGCUUCUAAUUUCCAAGCUGUUACACCAUUCCUGGGUAUAGGCUGAACUAAUUUUGGGAGGAACUUAGUUUAUAGUAUAACUUUGAAACAAAGACGAUAACAGCGCUUUGCCAAAACAAACCACCUUCCUACCUGAAUACUAGACUGCCUUUGCAGGACCACCACAUUAGCUACCAGAUUAUAAAUUACGGUUUAGGAGUCAUGCAGCUGGAGGCUGCAGAAUUCUGAACCUUUCCAAAUUGCUCCUGGGGAUAAUGUCACUAUAAUAAAACCUAAGAUCAGUGCUGGAGGUAUUUUGUAGACCCUGUACUCCAUGGAUCAGCUGGCACCACCCAGAUCCAUAAACUGGCUCAUCUGAUCUUGUGGCCUCCAUCCAGGCAAGAUGAUUCAGCGCAAGAGGACAGCUUAGACUUUUCAUGAUUUCAUCUCUGAACUGAUCUAUCAGCACUCCCCACUUUCCAACCCCCUACCCAUCAAAUUAUCCUUAAAAUCUCUGAUCCCUGAACUCUGGAGAGGCUGAUUUGAAUAAUAAUAAAACUUUAGUCUCCCGUA